rnacentral:rRNA from 1 species
UGAGGAAUAUUGGACAAUGAGGGAAACCCUGAUCCAGCAAUGCCGCGUGGGUGAUGAAGGCCUUCGGAUCGUAAAGCCCUUUCGACAGGGACGAUGAUGACGGUACCUGUAGAAGAAGCCCCGGCUAACUUCGUGCCAGCAGCCGCGGUAAUACGAAGGGGGCUAGCGUUGCUCGGAAUUACUGGGCGUAAAGCGUGCGUAGGCGGUUUGGUCAGUCAGCCGUGAAAGCCCCGGGCUCAACCUGGGAACGGCGGUUGAGACGGCCAGACUCGAGUGGGCUAGAGGAUCGUGGAAUUCCCGGUGUAGCGGUGAAAUGCGUAGAGAUCGGGAGGAACACCGAUGGCGAAGGCAGCGGUCUGGGGCCACACUGACGCUGAGGCACGAAAGCGUGGGGAGCAAACAGGAUUAGAUACCCUGGUAGUCCACGCGGUAAACGAUGAGCACUAGACGUUGGGCGGGUGACCGUCCGGUGUCGCAGCUAACGCGCUAAGUGCUCCGCCUGGGGAGUACGGCCGCAAGGUUG